rnacentral:rRNA from 1 species
CCGAGUUUACAACUCCCAAACCCAAUGUGAACGUUACCAAACUGUUGCCUCGGCGGGAUCUCUGCCCCGGGUGCGUCGCAGCCCCGGACCAAGGCGCCCGCCGGAGGACCAACCAAAACUCUUAUUGUAUACCCCCUCGCGGGUUUUUUUAUAAUCUGAGCCUUCUCGGCGCCUCUCGUAGGCGUUUCGAAAAUGAAUCAAAACUUUCAACAACGGAUCUCUUGGUUCUGGCAUCGAUGAAGAACGCAGCGAAAUGCGAUAAGUAAUGUGAAUUGCAGAAUUCAGUGAAUCAUCGAAUCUUUGAACGCACAUUGCGCCCGCCAGUAUUCUGGCGGGCAUGCCUGUCCGAGCGUCAUUUCAACCCUCGAACCCCUCCGGGGGGUCGGCGUUGGGGAUCGGCCCUGCCUUGGCGGUGGCCGUCUCCGAAAUACAGUGGCGGUCUCGCCGCAGCCUCUCCUGCGCAGUAGUUUGCACACUCGCAUCGGGAGCGCGGCGCGUCCACAGCCGUUAAACACCCAACUUCUGAAAUGUUGACCUCGGAUCAGGUAGGAAUACCCGCUGAACUUAAGCAUACA